rnacentral:lncRNA from 1 species
CACAAUUGGGCUUUUAGUCUUUGCUCCGUUCACGUUACACGACGACGAGCAAAAAGGGGCAGCUGUAAUACCCAAUUUAUGCCCGGCCCAUAUUCAUAAAAAAACAAAUAAUAAAAUAAAAUAGAAAAAAUAAAUGUCCAGUUUUGUUACAACAGCAGAUCCAAUUAAUUUACCCAAACCCAAAAUACAACAAACCCAUUAAGCCCUAAAUUAACCUGAAAUACAAACCCAACACCAGCCCAAUGGCCCAAAUCUCAACCCAAUACCUAAACUUAGACCCGAUUAUGAGCCCAAAACAUAAGCAGAAACCCUAGCAGUUUCUGAAACAGCCUCAGCCGCCGCAGCAGAGCCAGGCCUCCUCCUCGCGCAUGUUGCGUCCGCACGCAUGUAGCGCCUCCGUGCCAAAUCCACGCGAGCCCCUUACACUCCAGCUGGCCUCCGUACCUGCAACAAACAAAAGUGGAAAAACAACAGCAAAGGAUAGCAAGAAAAUACAGUAAAUAGUGAAGAUUUUUCUGUAAUUUUCUUUUGAUUUCAUUCUGUAUUUUCGGCUAUAAAAAGCCAUUUUCCAAAAUUUGUGAAGGGUUACACACACACAAAAAAAAAUCAAUACAAAAAAAAUAC